rnacentral:rRNA from 1 species
AUCGAACGCUGGCGGCAGGCCUAACACAUGCAAGUCGAGCGAGCGGCGGACGGGUGAGUAAUGUCUGGGAAACUGCCUGAUGGAGGGGGAUAACUACUGGAAACGGUAGCUAAUACCGCAUACCAUCAGAUGUGCCCCGAUGGGAUUAGCUAGUGGGUGGGGUAACGGCUCACAUUGGCGACGAUCCCUAGCUGGUCUGAGAGGAUGACCAGCCACACGGGAACUGAUACACGGUCAGAACUCCUACGGGAGGAAGCGGUGGGAAUCAUUGCACAAUGGUGUAAAGCCGGAUGCAGCCAGGCCGCGGAUGUGAAGCAGGCCUUCGGGUUUUAAAGCACGUUCAGCGGGGAGACGUUACCCGCAGAAGAAGCACCGGCUAACUCCGUGCCAGCAGCCGCGGUAAUAC